GAUGAACGCUGGCGGCGUGCCUAACACAUGCAAGUCGAACGGAGUCCAGCCUUUAAGACCUUCGGGUCAAAGAGGGGAAGACUGAGUGGCGGACGGGUGAGUAACACGUGGGCAACCUGGCUCAUAGAGGGGGAUAACAGAGAGAAAUUUCUGCUAAUGCCGCAUAAGCACACACUGCCGCAUGGCAGAGGGUGAAAAGAGAAUCGCGAUGAGAUGGACCCGCGUCUGAUUAGCCAGUUGGCAGGGUAAGAGCCUACCAAAGCGACGAUCAGUAGCCGAUCUGAGAGGAUGAACGGCCACAUUGGGACUGAGACACGGCCCAAACCCCUACGGGAGGCAGCAGUGGGGGAUAUUGCACAAUGGGGGGAACCCUGAUGCAGCGACGCCGCGUGAGUGAAGAAGUAUUUCGGUAUGUAAAGCUCUAUCAGCAGGGAAGAUAAUGACAGUACCUGAAUAAGAAGCCCCGGCUAACUACGUG
rnacentral:rRNA from 1 species